UAGCCAUCAAAGUUAAAUUGGUACGGUAAAGGAAUUGAAAGUUUAAAUAUACGGAAAGUCUUUGUAGUAUUCCAAGUGAAAAUAUCAGCGAAUCGAAAUUUCGCAGAAGCUAAAAGCAGAAUACACUGUACACACGCACAGAAUAGGAGAUUUAUUGAAGAUCCGGGUGACGAGUUAACGAAACCCACAAAACGAGAUUUUUAACCGUUCAACCUCGAGCGGUUCCGAAUAAACGAGUUGAAUUUCCGGAAGUUGGUUUCCUUUCGUUGCGAAAGCAACACAAAGAAUAUGAGAUAUAGGAAAACUUGAAAUCCCAGAACCCUUAUCCUCUGGUAACUAUCUAGAUUCUAGAAGGUCGUACAUUAUUCUCUUCAAAAGACCCUAAAAACAAGCUACAACUGUAUGAAAUGUAAAAAAUAUGUUUGUCUCGAUCAUGACGUUAUAACAUGCUCUGAUUCUUUUACUAAUGAAAUCUAAAUCGAUAAAUACGUUUUUAUGUUAUAUAAUAGCUCUUUCUACUUUCAUGAAUUAUAUUCAGUUGCUUACUUUCAAUUAAUAACAGGAAAAAAGACGGGUGGGUAAUGUCGGGGACAUAACCGGAGUGACGUAGGACUAUACAAAGGGGACAGCUUUUGCUAAAUAUAUAUUUUAAAUAUAUUGUUUUAUUUUCUUCUCCUAC